rnacentral:misc_RNA from 1 species
UGCGCCGUACUGGAAUGCUCGAUACAUGCCGCCGAAACGCUCAAUGACCGUUUCCUCGCCAUAACCCGCGAUCUCGAACGCCUUCACCAUCGCCUGCGGGCGAUGGUUGCGGAUGCCGCCCGACGCAAUCUCGUAACCGUUGCAGGCGAUGUCGUACUGGAACGCCUUGAUCGUGAGCGGGUCCUGCGUCUCCAGCGCUUCGAGGCCGCCCUGCGGCAUCGAGAACGGGUUGUGCGAGAAGUCGACC